ACGGACCAGAUAAUGAGCUCUGUGAGAUGGUGAGGACAGGAAGAAGAAUCUGUUGUGCAUAUGUAAACAGAGAGUCCAGCAGACUUUGACACUCUUCUCAGUGGGCGGUGGAGUCUACGUUCCUUGCUUUGAAUAUUCCAGUCUCCAUGCUGUGAGGAAGUCUAAGGCUGGACUUCUUCCUGGCCCGCAGCCCUAGGUGGGCUCCCGGUGACAUCCAGGAUUAACAUGCCAGCCAUGAGAGGGAGCCAUCUUGAAGGUGCAUCCUUCAAGCACAAGUGGAGUUUGCCAUUGGAGCAGAGACAAGACAACUCAGCUCAGCUCCUCCUAAAUCACAGAUCUGUGGGCAACGGAAAUGAUCGUUGUGGUUUUAAGCUAUUAUGUGCUGGGGUAGUUUGUUACUUGGCAUGAAUAACCAGAACAUCCACGGCAGCCCCUGACUUAGAAGGUAGCCAAUCAGAGUGCACUAAUGACUCAACAAGGUUGGGGUAUAAGUCUGUCUGCCCUUGGAAUGACCUCUUUCAAAGCAGGAGGGAUACUUUCCGUAUCUCUACUCUUUCCAUGAUGCUUUCUGUUCUGUAAAUGUUGGCUGAACUGAACAAAAUAGGUGAAGAGACUCAA